rnacentral:rRNA from 1 species
CAGUAGCCGCGGUAAUACGUAGGGUGCAAGCGUUAAUCGGAAUUACUGGGCGUAAAGCGUGCGCAGGCGGUGUUGUAAGACUGAUGUGAAAUCCCCGGGCUCAACCUGGGAACUGCAUUGGUGACUGCAACGCUGGAGUGCGGCAGAGGGGGAUGGAAUUCCGCGUGUAGCAGUGAAAUGCGUAGAUAUGCGGAGGAACACCGAUGGCGAAGGCAGUCCCCUGGGCCUGCACUGACGCUCAUGCACGAAAGCGUGGGGAGCAAACAGGAUUAGAUACCCCGGUAGUCCCUGUCUCUUAUAC